AUGGAGACCGACUGUCUAGAGGCAGUUAACCUCUGAAACUCUCGCUACAUCGACCGGUCGGUGAUAGCACCUAUCUUCUCUGAAAUUGGAGAGCUAGCUCUUAGUUUUAUUUCUUUCAAUAUUCAACAUGUAAUAAGAUCAGCAAACAGUCCUGCACAUCUGUGUGCUAAGCGUGGUACUACGCUUAAUGUGACUGAGAGCUGGUUAGAUACUACCCCUAGCUUCCUGAUCAGCAACCUUCUGGCUGACUGCUCAGCGAGUGCUUUUGUUGAAAUAAAACUCUCUGAAGUUCCCCGCAAAAAUAAUCUCUUCAGGCCCCCUGACUUCAACCGGGUGUGGGGCCCCUCUCCUUAUUUCCUCUAA
rnacentral:rRNA from 1 species